ACGUGGAGAGAACAGGAACACAUGUUUUCUGUACUACAUGGCUAAUGCAGGAUACAGGGCUGCAGUUGUUGGGUGAAGCUUUGCCCGAAAGUUGAGAAAUGGGUGCAGCGCAAGGAUGCAGAACAGGAGUCGCAGACCAAAGCAGAGAUCCAGGAUAUGAAGCAAGAGUUAUCCGCGGUCAAUAUGAUGGACAAGUUUGCCAGAUCUGCCAGGCUGGAAAGAAAGAUCAACAAGAUGAUGAAUAAGCUCAAAACUCAUGUGAAAGUACAGACAGCUCAAUCAGGAAUGCUAAAAUGGGUUAUAAGUGUUGCUUUCUACAAAUUGCCAGGUACCGUGAUCAGGCUAUAAGGCAGUCUUGUGGGGUUAUCCAUUACUUGACAGGGUCUCGCUCUGUUGCCCAGGCUGGAGUGCAGUGGGCCAUCUAGGCUCACUGUAGCCUCUGCCACCCGGGUUCAAGUGACCUUCCCACUUCAGCCUCACAAGUAGCUGGCACUAAAAGUGCUUGCCACCAUACCCGGAUAAUUUUCAUAUUUUUUGUAAAGACAGGGUCUCACCAUGUUGCCCAGACUGGUCGCGUUUUCUUCCUCUGUUUAAAAUGGCAUUUGUUGGACAAGCAUUUGUAUAGUACUAUGUACUUACUUGAAGCUGUUAAUUUUUCAUUACAAUGUUUUGUAAAUUUCUUCAUGAGGCCAUAAUGCAUUGUUUUGUGCUCAAAUUUUGCAUUGUAUUUAAAGCAUUCA
rnacentral:lncRNA from 1 species